CAGAGUGUUUGGUGUAUUCUUGUUCGCUAGGUGUGUGUACAUUUCUUGGCGUCUAUUUUGUUUGAUUCUGACUUAAAUCUCGCUGAAUUAUGGCGACGUAGUUGGAUUAUGGGUUUCAAGAAUUGAUAAAGAAAUAAGAACUUUUAUCCUGUGAAAAAAAAUCUUAUUUACGUUGUCAUUUUUGAUGAUCGUUUAUGUUCGUUUAACCAAGUCGAAGAAUGUUGCUGGCUAUUCAAACCAGUGGUAAUAGAACGAGGAGUUGUAAAAAUGCUGUAAGUAAGAAAUGCAUUUCACUAGACGAUUUGCCAGAGAAAAGGAGAAAGUUUCGUGUUCGUACGUUUUACAAAUAGAACUGAUCGUGUGACC